rnacentral:misc_RNA from 1 species
AAGUCGUAACAAGGUUUCCGUAGGUGAACCUGCGGAAGGAUCAUUAACACGUAUCCAAACGUUAAAACCCCCCCCCGUGAACAUUGAUUCCUGCUCUUGUAACCCGCGAAGCUUGCAAUCUCUGGUAAAUCAUAGCCCGGAAAGUAGUUUUGAUUCAGAGACCUCUCUGGCCCGUGCGAAAAUUGUAACAGUUACAAUUCGAGCGGUCUGACAGUGUCAGUGAUUGUGCAAGGAUAACGCUUCACGAUUCUUGUAGACCGCACCUCGCGGGCAGGAGCUAGGCCAAAGGGUCCCCAUGCCCCCUUACAACCCCACAGUUAAAUGUGAAGCUCAAUGUAAUACAUUGGGUAAAAAACCGAACAACUGUUAACAAUGGAUAUCUUGGUUCUC